GGGGAUAUAGUUUAAAGGGUAAAACACAUAUUUUGCAUGUCUGAAUUAUGGAUUCGAUUUCCAUUAUCUCCA
rfam:Pneumocystis murina mitochondrion, complete genome.